GAUGAAGAACGUAGCGAAAUGCGAUAAGUAAUGUGAAUUGCAGAAUUCAGUGAAUCAUCGAAUCUUUGAACGCACAUUGCGCCCGCUAGCAUUCUGGCGGGCAUGCCUGUCCGAGCGUCAUUUCAACCCUCAAGCCCCCGGGCUUGGUGUUGGGGAUCGGCGAGCCUCCGCGCCCGCCGUCCCCUAAAUCUAGUGGCGGUCUCGCUGUAGCUUCCUCUGCGUAGUAGCACACCUCGCACUGGGAAACAGCGCGGCCACGCCGUUAAACCCCCAACUUCUGAACGUUUGACCUCGGAUCAGGUAGGAAUACCCGCUGAACUUAAGCAUAUCAAUAAGCGGAGGA
rnacentral:misc_RNA from 1 species